CGCAAGCCUGAUGCAGCCAUGCCGCGUGUGUGUAAGAAGGCCUUCGGGUUGUAAAGCACUUUCAGUCGUGAGAAGGUGGUAGUGUUAAUAGCACUAUCAUUUGACGUUAGCGACAGAAGAAGCACCGGCUAACUCCGUGCCAGCAGCCGCGGUAAUACGGAGGGUGCGAGCGUUAAUCGGAAUUACUGGGCGUAAAGCGCAUGCAGGUGGUUUGUUAAGUCAGAUGUGAAAGCCCGGGGCUCAACCUCGGAAUAGCAUUUGAAACUGGCAGACUAGAGUACUGUAGAGGGGGUAGAAUUUCAGGUGUAGCGGUGAAAUGCGUAGAGAUCUGAAGGAAUACCGGUGGCGAAGGCGGCCCCCUGGACAGAUACUGACACUCAGAUGCGAAAGCGUGGGGAGCAAACAGGAUUAGAUACCCUGGUAG
rnacentral:rRNA from 1 species